rnacentral:pre_miRNA from 1 species
GACCGCUAGUAAUAAUUGAUUUUCGCUGGCGGUUGAGUUAUACCGGCCGCCAACGAAAAUCGAUUUUUGCUGGCGGUU